UGCCUCAGUAGCGGCGAGUGAGCGGCAGAGCUCAGAUUUGAAUCGUGCUUUGCGGCACGAGUUGUAGAUUGCAGGUUGGAGUCUGUGUGGAAGGCGGUGUCCAAGUCCCUUGGAACAGGGCGCCCAGGAGGGUGAGAGCCCCGUGGGAUGCCGGCGGAAGCAGUGAGGCCCUUCUGACGAGUCGAGUUGUUUGGGAAUGCAGCUCCAAGCGGGGUGGGAAAUUUCCUCCUAAGGUUAAUUCUGGGGCAAAAAACGAAAAGCGAAAAGGUACGGGGAGGGAAAUAA
rnacentral:rRNA from 1 species